UAAGCACAUGCCACGUGGAGAUGCUA
rnacentral:piRNA from 1 species